rnacentral:rRNA from 1 species
AUUCUUCUCGCUAUAGGGUCUCGGUGGUGUCUUGCCAGCAACCCCCCAUUUAUACAAGGUUGACCUCGGAUCAGGUAGGGAUACCCGCUGAACUUAAGCAUAUCAAUAAGCGGAGGAAAAGAAACCAACAGGGAUUGCCCUAGUAACGGCGAGUGAAGCGGCAACAGCUCAAAUUUGAAAUCUGGCGUCUUUGGCGUCCGAGUUGUAAUUUGCAGAGGGCGCUUUGGCAUUGGCAGCGGUCCAAGUUCCU